GUGCCCGUAGCUCAGGAGGAUAGAGCACAAGAUUCCUAAUCUUGAGGUCAUGGGUUCAAAUCCCUUCGGGCACG
rnacentral:tRNA from 1 species